rnacentral:rRNA from 1 species
ACGAACGCUGGCGGCGUGCUUAACACAUGCAAGUCGAACGGUGAAGCGCCUUCCUUUUUGGUGGGUGUGGAUGAGUGGCGAACGGGUGAGUAACACGUGAGUAACCUGCCCCCUUCUUCUGGAUAACCGCAUGAAAGUGUGGCUAAUACGGGAUAUUCUGGGUCUGUCGCAUGAUGGGUCUGGGAAAGAUAUUGUUUCGGUGGGGGAUGGGCUCGCGGCCUAUCAGCUUGUUGGUGGGGUGAUGGCCUACCAAGGCGGUGACGGGUAGCCGGCCUGAGAGGGUGGACGGUCACACUGGGACUGAGACACGGCCCAGACUCCUACGGGAGGCAGCAGUGGGGAAUAUUGCACAGUGGGCGCAAGCCUGAUGCAGCGACGCCGCGUGAGGGAUGGAGGCCUGCGGGUUGUGAACCUCUUUCGCCAGUGAAGCAGGCCUGCCUCGUUUGUGGGUGGGUUGACGGUAGCUGGAUAAGAAGCGCCGGCUAACUACGUG